AUUAACUUCAAAAUUGAUCUAUUCUCAUUAUGCAGCAAAUCAUAGUGAUUUUUAUGAAUAGAAAACAUCCUCUAAACAUUGCUGCAGUUAAGAGUUUUUUAACUAGUAGUACUCUAGUUGUGCUUUAAGACACCAAGUGUCAACAUAACAGACCUCGAUAUCGCCUGUUGUGGAUAAUUCACUUCUUCCUCUUUUUUGGUGGCUGAAUUUCUUCUUCUUCCUCAUCUUCUUCAUCUUCAUCUUCA
rnacentral:misc_RNA from 1 species